AGAGUUUGAUCCUGGCUCAGAUUGAACGCUGGCGGCGUGCCUAACACAUGCAAGUCGAGCGGUAACAGGUGUAGCAAUACAUGCUGACGAGCGGCGAACGGGUGAGUAAUGCUUUGGAAUCUUCCCAGUAGUGGGGAAUAACCAGUCGAAAGAUUGGCUAAUACCGCAUACGUCUGUGAAGGGAAAGCGGGGGCUCGUAAGACCUCGCGCUAUUGGAUGAGCCAAAGUCGGAUUAGCUAGUUGGUGGGGUAAUGGCCUACCAAGGCGACAAUCCGUAGCUGGUCUGAGAGGACGACCAGCCACACCGGAACUGAGACACGGUCCGGACUCCUACGGGAGGCAGCAGUGGGGAAUAUUGGACAAUGGGGGAAACCCUGAUCCAGCGACGCCGCGUGUGUGAAGAAGGCCUGCGGGUUGUAAAGCACUUUUAGUGGGGACAAAAAGUCACGGGCUAAUACUCUGUGAUCUUGAUUUAACCCACAGAAAAAGCACCGGCUAACUCUGUGCCAGCAGUCGCGGUAAUACAGAGGGUGCGAGCGUUAAUCGGAAUUACUGGGCGUAAAGCGCGCGUAGACGGUUUUGUAAGUCAGAUGUGAAAUCCCUGGGCUCAACCUGGGAACUGCAUUUGAGACUGCAUGGCUAGAGUAUGGAAGAGGGAAGUGGAAUUUCCGGUGUAGCGGUGAAAUGCGUAGAUAUCGGAAGGAACACCAGUGGCGAAAGCGACUUCCUGGUCCAAUACUGACGUUCAUGUGC
rnacentral:rRNA from 1 species